UGCGUAGGUGGCAAGCGUUAUCCGGAUUUACUGGGCGUAAAGGGUGUGCAGGCGGGGUUGCAAGUGGGGUAUGAAAUCUCCCGGCUUAACCGGGAGGGGUUAUGCCAGACUGCAAUUCUAGAGGACGAGAGAGGGGGGUGGAAUUCCGGGUGUAGUGGUGAAAUGCGUAGAGAUCCGGAGGAACCCCAGAGGCGAAGGCGGCGCUCUGGCUCGCAACUGACGCUCAGACACGACAGCAUGGGGAGCAAACAGG
rnacentral:rRNA from 1 species